rnacentral:rRNA from 1 species
AUGUCGGAUAAAAUAUGUAAUGUCUUUUCCAACUACUUUUCAUUGAACAAAAGUAAAUUGAGAGAAUAUUUGUUCAUGGUAAAACUGGGUAUGGAACUAUGGAUCGAAUCCAUCAGGUACUUGCCUUGCUUUGGCGCUGAUACUUCAUAUAUGCCUGUGUACCUGUUCCGCUUCAAGAGUUAUUCAAAUUCAACAAGAAGCAAUACUGAAAUUCACCUUGCAUGUCAUACACAUGAAGGGAUACCUUCAGUAGUUUAUUUAGAGGCUUUGGAAGCAUGUCAAUUUGUUGUCCAACAAGAUAAACAGUGGGGAUGCCAUCAUUAUACAUCUCCAUCAUAUUCCUAG